CUUUAGGGAGCUGUAUUUAGCAUUAGCCUUUUAAGCUAAAGAAAAUAAUUUACUUAUUCCUGAAGA
rnacentral:tRNA from 1 species